rnacentral:rRNA from 1 species
UACAGAGGGUGCAAGCGUUGUUCGGAAUUAUUGGGCGUAAAGGGCGCGUAGGCGGUGCGGUAAGUCUGUAGUGAAAUCUCUGGGCUCAACUCAGAGUCUGCUGCAGAAACUGCCGUGCUUGAGUGUGGGAGAGGUGAGUGGAAUUCCCGGUGUAGCGGUGAAAUGCGCAGAUAUCGGAAGGAACACCUGUGGCGAAAGCGGCGCACUGGACCAAAACUGACGCUGAGGCGCGAAAGCUAGGGGAGCAAACAGG